rnacentral:lncRNA from 1 species
CCUAAUUCAAAGAAAAAAGCAUUUACUCUUUGUCCUGAACAGGUGUAGUCAAAAAAAGAACGCUGGUUUAUGAAAUGCUGACACGAUUUCACUCUCACCUUACAGCAACAAAACUACCCUCAGAGGUUUUGUACAAAUGAAGGAGACAAAAAUGGACCAGGGCUUACACAAGGACCGGGAGAACACACUGAAGACAAAACCUAACCAAAGACUACAAUGCCUGGGCCAAAUUUUGUGGCAUAAGGAAGAGGAAGGAAAAGCAGGAGAAGGUCAUUUGGGGUCACAGGUAAGGAAAAACGCUGCUUCAUUAAUACAGUACAUGCAUGCCCCUGCCUCUAUCAAAAGACACGUUCAAGGCCGGGUGUGAUGGCACACGCCUGUAAUCCCAGCACUUCGGAAGGCUGAGGCGGGUGGAUCACCUGAAGUCUGAAGUUCAAGACCAGCCUGGCCAACAUGGUGAAACCCCGUCUCUACUAAAAAUACAAAAAUUAGGCGGGGCGCGGUGGCUCACGCCUGUAAUCCCAGCACUUUGGGAGGCAGAGGCGGGCAGAUCAUGAGGUCAGGAAAUCGAGACCAUCCUGGCUAACACAGUGAAACCCCGCCUCUACUAAAAAUAUAAAAAAUUAGCCGGGCGUGGUGGCGGGCGCCUGUAGUCCCAGCUACUCGGGAGGCUGAGGCAGGAGAAUGGCGUGAACCCGGGAGGCGGAGCCUGCAGUGAGCCGAGAUCGCGCCACUGCAAUACAUCUCCAGCCCUCAAGCUGGGUGAAUGCUUAACGAGUGGAUGGAGGUGCUGCCUCUGCAAUACAUGUGGGCGACAGAGCGAGA